UACGUAGGGGGCAAGCGUUGUCCGGAAUCAUUGGGCGUAAAGCGCGCGUAGGCGGCCAGAUAAGUCCGGUGUGAAAGUCACAGGCUCAACCCUGGAAGGCCGGUGGAAACUGUCGGGCUAGAGUCCGGAAGAGGCGAGUGGAAUUCCCGGUGUAGCGGUGAAAUGCGCAGAUAUCGGGAGGAACACCAAUGGCGAAGGCAGCUCGCUGGGACGGUACUGACGCUGAGACGCGAAAGCGUGGGGAGCAAACAGG
rnacentral:rRNA from 1 species